GUUGCCGUCGCCACGCCUCGCCGUCGGAGUCGGAGUCGCUGCUCCGCUCCGCGCCGUGCUGUCCGCCGACCAGCGGGACCUCGGCAUGGAGGCGGGAGAGCAGGGGAGGCCGCUCCGGGUCGGCAUCGUCUGCGGCGGGCCCUCCGCCGAGAGGGGCGUCUCCCUCAACUCGCCACGCUCCGUGCUGGAUCACAUUCAGGGCGAGGAUUUGGUCGUCAGCUGCUACUACAUCGACUCUGCCAUGAACGCCUUCGCCAUAUCGCCGGCGCAGAUAAAGGAAUAUUGAACAAUAUCCCGGCCUCUAUAUCAAAGAGUUAUAUCCGCCCCUUAUUACAAACUUAGAGAGAUAAACAGGAAGCAAAUUACAAGCCACAAAGCCUAUUACUAAACUGCCACCCGUUUCGUGCAAAGAUGUCCAUCGCCGUCACUUCCAAAGCGCGACAUGCAUCUGCAAUCAAGACUCUGUCCUCCUCCUUUUGCAAAAUCGCCAAUGUCCUGGUAAGAUAAGUGGCCCUGAAAAGGAUCCGAAGAACAAUUUAUUUUUGAGUAUUAUGAAAAACUACAUCAUUUCUGGAUAACCAGAUUGACCAGAGAAGCGCACAUAAGCUCGUAAACAUAACUUUUUUCUUUUCCCACAUAAAACCCUUCAGCCACGACCCGAAUAAAUGCACAAUAUUAUAAGGUUUUGUAAGACCGAAGGUGAUGAAAAUUAUCCUCCAAAGUAACCUAGCCAUAUGACACCCGAAGAAGAGAUGCACAAUAGUUUCGUUAUUCAUGCAAAAACAACAUUGUUUGCUCCCCUUCCAAUUACGCGUGGCUAAAUUAUCCUUUGUCAGGAUAACACCACGGUGGAGUAGCCAAAUAAAAACUUUUACUUUCAAAGGAAUUUUCAGUUUCCAUACGGGCUUGUUUAUGGGUAAAACUCGAACAUCUAAUAGAGCUGAGUACAUAGAACGAACUGAAAAUUGGCCACUUUUGUGAAGUUGCCAGAUUCCGAUAUCCUUAUUAUCUCCCAGCCGGAUAUUAGCAACGCGAUGUCCUAAAUCCAUCCAGUCUCUCAGAUUAACUCCCGUAAGGUGUCUCCUAAACGAGACAUUCAAAGGGUCUCCAUUAAGCACUGUAUGAACGGUAACAUGUUUGCGAUGAACCAAAUUGAACAAAUUGGGAUAUUGAUCUUUAAGGGCCGAGUUUCCCAGCCACUUGUCUUCUCAAAAUCUGGUUUGUUUCCCAUUAUGUACCUUAAAUGUCAUCCAUUUAAGAAAAUCUUGUUUUACUGACAUAAGUCCUGACCAAAACUGUGAAUCACCAGGUUUUUUCUCAACCUGAGUGAGGGUUUUGGAUUUAAGGUAUUUAUUCCUGAGUAUCUGUUGCCAAAUGUCAUCUUCAUUAGUAAGUUUGAACAACCAUUUACUUAAAAGGCAUUUGUUUUGGACGUUUAAAUCCAUAAUUCCUAGUCCACCUUGUUCUUUUGGUCUACAUAAUAUCCCAUUUAGAUAAUCUAUAUUUUUUUUGUGACCAUCCCCUUGCCAGAAGAAUCUAGAUCUAUAAAAAUUUAGUUUUUUGAGAACUUCUUUAGGGAUUUCAAAGAAAGAAAGCAUAUAGACAGAUAGGUUGCUUAAAACCGAGUUUAUGAGAAUAAGCCUGCCUCCAUAGGAGAGCAGUUUGCCUUUCCAUAUACUCAGUUUACGUUCAAACCUGUCUUCUAUGAUCUAUGAGUUCCUAAUAGCAAUGCCAAACAUGCAUCUCAAUUUUGCCUUUCCAGAGCAAUGCACUGGCUGCCAAAUAUAUGUGCCGCUUCUUGUUGGCCUAUUUUUUAUAGCCCCACCCCCAGGCUGCUGCUUGGUUUUUCUAUACACACCUGACCUGACCCCCUGUUUGAGGCAUCAGGCUCUGCUCAGCUCCAUUGCUUCAACACGCUUGCCUCAACUUUUGUUAGCUUUACAAACUUCCUAUGAUUAUGAAUCAAUCAUCAGCUCAAACUUCCUGGGAUUCCAAUGAAUAUAUACAACAACAACAACAACAACAUAAUCUUUUUUCCCAAGCAAAUUGGGGUAGGCUAGAGAUGAAACCCGAAAGAAAUAAGUUCAAGGUUCAGGCACAUUGAUAGCUAGUCUCCAAGCGCUCCUAUCCAAAGCUAUCUCUUUAGAGAUAUUCCAAUCCUUAAGGUCUCUCUUAACCGACUCAUCCCACGUCAGUUUAGGUCUACCUCUAUCCCUCUUUACAUUAUCGACCCGCUCAAGAACCCCAUUACGCACCGGCGCCUCAGGAGGCCUUCAUUGGACAUGUCCAAACCAUCUCAGCCGAUGCUGGCUAUAUUCCAACACACCUUCAGAUUUUGAUUUCAAACAUGAAAGUCUAGCCCAAGGAUUUCAAUCCCUAUCUGACUUUGCGGAGCAUCUUGCCACUAAUGUUGACAUUGCCUUCCCAGUGAUCCAUGGCAAAUUUGGUGAAGAUGGUGGCAUUCAGGAGCUCUUGGAGAAAGCAAAGGUUCCAUUUGUUGGGACGCCCUCUAAGGAAUGUCAGCAUGCUUUUGACAAGCAUAGUGCAUCACUCGAGCUUGAUACACAAGGUUUCCUAACAGUGCCAAACCUUCUUGUGGAGAAGGACAAGUUGGCUAAGCCAGAGUUGGAGGCAUGGUUCCAAACCAUCAAUUUGAGCAAAGAAAAUGGCAAAGUGAUUGUCAAACCUGCGAGGGCUGGGUCAAGCAUUGGUUUGGUUGUUGCUUAUGGUGUGAAUGACGCUGCUCAGAAAGCUGAGGAAAUAAUUUCAGAGGGAAUUGAUAAUAAAGUUAUCAUAGAGGUUUUCCUUGAAGGGGGCACUGAAUUUACAGCCAUUGUGGUUGAUGUUGGGAUUGCUAACAAUAUUGAGCCUGUUGUUCUGCUUCCAACAGAAGUUGAGCUACAGCACUCCAGCAGUAGUGAUACCGAGGAUACAAUAUUUAACUACCGCAGGAAGUACCUUCCGACUCGACAGGUUGUUUAUCAUACACCUCCACGUUUUCCGGUAGAGGUGAUUGAUUGCAUAAGACAAGGACUUUCUCUUUUAUUUCGACGCCUUGGCCUGCAUGACUUUGCAAGGAUAGAUGGUUGGUUUUUACCUUCUCCUGUUAGUUCCUUACCCUCAGUUGAAAAUAGUGAAAAUUUUGGAAAUACCAAGUAUGGCACUGUUCUUUUUACGGAUAUUAAUUUGAUAAGUGGGAUGGAGCAAACCAGCUUUUUAUUCCAACAAGCUUCAGCGGUUGGAUUCUCUCACUCUAGAAUCCUUCGUACGGUUAUUCAGCACGCUUGCUCUCGAUUCCCUUCUCUUGUUCCAUGCAAUAAUGCAUGGACUGCUUUGUCCAGAAAAUUACAAUCAUCAAAACAAGCAGAAGCAAUCCACAAAGGUACAUCCAAACAGAAGGUUUUUGUGAUCUUCGGAGGAGACACUUCAGAACGGCAAGUAUCACUUAUGAGUGGCACCAAUGUCUGGCUUAAUUUGCAAAGCUUUGAUGAUCUUGAUGUGACUCCAUGUUUGCUUGCACCUGCAAAUGGAUAUUUCUCCUCCCAUGACCAAGAUUUCAGUGUCAUUUCACCAGA